UACGUAGGGUCCGAGCGUUUGUCCGGAAUUAUUGGGCGUAAAGGGCUCGUAGGCGGUCUGUCGCGUCGGGAGUGAAAACUUACAGCUUAACUGUGAGCGUGCUUCCGAUACGGGCAGACUUGAGGUAUUCAGGGGAGAACGGAAUUCCUGGUGUAGCGGUGAAAUGCGCAGAUAUCAGGAGGAACACCGGUGGCGAAGGCGGUUCUCUGGGAAUAUCCUGACGCUGAGGAGCGAAAGUGUGGGGAGCGAACAGG
rnacentral:rRNA from 1 species